rnacentral:misc_RNA from 1 species
AAAAUAAUUAAGAAAUUAAAACCUCUUAUAAUUUACGUAUCAUAUGAGGCUUCUUGUCAAUAUGUAUUUAUAUAAGAUUUUAUAUAAUUGUUUUACAUAUAUAAAAGCAAAAUUCACGGAUUUAGAAAUUGAAUUUUCCAAUAUUACUAAAAUUUAACAUUUCAUCAUUACUUUUUAAUAAAGUUCGACCAUUGUUGUUCCCUUAAGAGUUCUCUUUUUAAUAGUUAGGCUCUCUCAAAUUUGACCUUGCCAGUGUUACUAUAUUAUUUUUGGGUUAGUAAUUAACUUUUAUAGGAACCGUAAUAAGUUGAAUUUUUGCAGAUAAUUAAUUGAACUCUAAUAAAAUAAAUUUAAAUAAUGUAUAAUUGGGUUUGAGAUCAUUUCAAAUUAGAAUAAUAAUAUUCGUAAUUUUCUCUAAAAUGAAAUCUUAAAUUUUCUCAUCUUUUGAUAUGGCUCUCACUCUCUUCCCACUUAAAUAACAGCAAAUAGCUCUUUGGUCCAAUGGAUCAUGACAAGUCACAUAUGAUAUAAUUCAUCUAGCAGACCUAUAUUCGAAUCCUCAGUCUCCCACUCUUAUAAUAAUAAUAAUAAAUAAAUAA